GAUGAACGCUGGCGGCGUGCCUAAUACAUGCAAGUCGAGCGAACAGACGAGGAGCUUGCUCCUCUGACGUUAGCGGCGGACGGGUGAGUAACACGUGGAUAACCUACCUAUAAGACUGGGAUAACUUCGGGAAACCGGAGCUACUACCGGAUAAUAUAUUGAACCGCAUGGUUCAAUAGUGAAAGACGGUUUUGCUGUCACUUAUAGAUGGAUCCGCGCCGCAUUAGCUAGUUGGUAAGGUAACGGCUUACCAAGGCAACGAUGCGUAGCCGACCUGAGAGGGUGAUCGGCCACACUGGAACUGAGACACGGUCCAGACUCCUACGGGAGGCAGCAGUAGGGAAUCUUCCGCAAUGGGCGAAAGCCUGACGGAGCAACGCCGCGUGAGUGAUGAAGGUCUUCGGAUCGUGAAACUCUGUUAUUAGGGAAGAACAAAUGUGUAAGUAACUAUGCACGUCUUGACGGUACCUAAUCAGAAAGCCACGGCUAACUACGUG
rnacentral:rRNA from 1 species